CCUCAGCCUCCCAAAGUGCUGGGAUUUACAAGCAUGAGCCACCGCACCCAGCCACAAAAUGACUUCUGAACGUGAUUAACAGAAGCCAAGUUCCAGAAUAACCCAGUUAUAAUUAAUCUAGAGAUCUUCUUUGAUUAGUGCCAGAAAAUAAUUGAUUAUAUUUGUCCAAUUAGGUCAACUAGCCUAAAGAAAGAAAAAAUGUGGUUGGGCACGGCAGCUCACACCUGUAAUCCCAGCACUUUGAGAGGCCGCGGCAGGAGGACUGCUCCUAGGUUGAGCUCAGGAGUUCAAAACCAGUAUGGGCAACAUAGUGACACCCCGUCUCUAC